rnacentral:rRNA from 1 species
UACGUAGGCAGCGAGCGUUGUUCGGAGUUACUGGGCGUAAAGCGCACGUAGGCGGCUUUGUAAGUUAGAGGUGAAAGCCCGGGGCUCAACUCCGGAAUUGCCUUUAAGACUGCAUCGCUAGAAUUGUGGAGAGGUAAGUGGAAUUCCGAGUGUAGAGGUGAAAUUCGUAGAUAUUCGGAAGAACACCAGUGGCGAAGGCGGCUCACUGGACUGGUAUUGACGCUGAGGUGCGAAAGCGUGGGGAGCAAACAGG